AUAUCAUAAUUAAGCGAUCCUAAGACAGCAGGUUUUGUAAAAGCUGAGCUUCCCUGCCGAGGAAAGAUAAUAAAAAUGCUUUUUAUGUCUUUUCCGUUCUCUUUGGAUAGCGGGAAAGAUUUUUUUAUUACCGC
rfam:Eubacterium sp. CAG:841 genomic scaffold, scf7